UACGUAGGGUGCAAGCGUUGUCCGGAAUUAUUGGGCGUAAAGAGCUCGUAGGCGGUCUGUCACGUCGGCUGUGAAAUCCCGAGGCUCAACCUCGGGUCUGCAGUCGAUACGGGCAGACUAGAGUACUGCAGGGGGAGACUGGAAUUCCUGGUGUAGCGGUGGAAUGCGCAGAUAUCAGGAGGAACACCGGUGGCGAAGGCGGGCGUCUGGGUCGAGUACUGACGCUGAGGUACGAAAGCGUGGGGAGCAACAGG
rnacentral:rRNA from 1 species